UGGGGAAUUUUGGACAAUGGGCGCAAGCAUGAUCCAGCAAUGCCGCGUGAGUGAAGAAGGCCUUCGGGUUGUAAAGCUCUUUCAGUCGAGAAGAAAAGGCUGCAGUGAAUAACUGUAGUUUAUGACGGUAUCGACAGAAGAAGCMCSGGCUAWAUACGUSCCAGCAGCCGCGGUAAUACGUGGGGUGCGAGCGUUAAUCGGAAUUACUGGGCGUAAAGGGUGCGCRGGCGGUUUUGUAWGUCAGAUGUGAAAUCCCCGGGCUUAACCUGGGAAUUGCGUUUGAAACUACAAGGCUAGAGUGUGGCAGAGGGAGGUGGAAUUCCAUGUGUAGCAGUGAAAUGCGUAGAGAUAUGGAAGAACAUCGAUGGCGAAGGCAGCCUCCUGGGUUAACACUGACGCUCAUGCACGAAAGCGUGGGGAGCAAACAGGAUUAGAUACCCUGGUAGUCCACGCCCUAAACGAUGUCAACUAGUUGUSGGGCCUUAUUAGGCUUAGUAACGAAGCUAACGCGUGAAG
rnacentral:rRNA from 1 species